CCAGAUCUCAUUCAUUAGAGCAAAGAUGCUUCUUCACAUGGGGCUUGUUUACUGAUAGUUAUUUAUCUGUUUGCAUAUUUAAAUAACCUCCCUCGGUGGUCGAGGUUUGUCAUUAAUUUCUAAAUAGCAAGUGAAUGCUUUGCUCUACGCUGUGCACCUUUUCUGUCUCCCACAGGUAGUCUUCCCUUUCCUUAGUCAGUUCUUUCCUCCCUCCCUAAUUUAAUUCACUUCCCUAAGUGACCAGUGGAUGACCUGGAACCUCAGAACCUUCUGCCUCUACCGACCCUCCAGUGCUGAAGGAGGAGGGGCAGCCCAAUUUCUGCCAUGCCAGGCUUGAACCCGCGACUCUCGCCUAGGCCAUCCUACCACUUUCCAGCUCCGCUUAGUGUAUUUAGACAAUACAGAAAUAUUUGAGAAACCGAGGCACAGAUUUGAACCUGCAUAUUUGGUCUAGAAAAUCAUGCUCUAUUUUAAUCUUGUGAAGGGUUCAAGGGACUCAAACAAUAACCAGAGGAUGAAAUCAUGCAGAAAGCGCCUAUGUCUGGGGGGAGGGGGGGUCGCCAAGGGGCCAAGUGUCCAGUUCCGCGGCGUCCCUGAAAGCCCUCCUCCCGCGUGGGGACCGCUCGCCGUUCACCCUCCCAAGGCCCGCGGUCCGCCUUGGCAGCGCGGCUCCCGUGACUCAGCCGCCGGCCCAGCUCUGGCCCUGGUGACGCCCGCACCGAGGGGAGGCGACGAUCGGCCUGAGACGCCAGACGGGGUGGGGGUCGCCGCUCGCCCGCUGACCGGCUCGCCCGCGCUUUACGGCUGCCGAAAACCGGCCCCGCCGGCCGCCGUACCGCAGACCCGGGGCGCCGCUCAGAUCUCUGGCUGGACAUCAGAAAUAGCUUUUGAUGGCAUAAAGCCUCCUUCCUGAGACCCCAGGCUUUGACUGGUAGGCACCUGGAUGAGGAAUCCUGGAUCCAGAUCAUCACCCUCCUGCAACAGCAAAGACCAUCCCAUUCCACUAGGUGCAUUCAAGUAAGUGAUAAUUGCUUUAUUAAAAUGUAAGAUUUUAGUCUUGCAUCAGUUUUCAACAAGUUGACCUGGGAAAUUUGUAUAUAACAGCAUUCUUUGACAAUUUUUUUAAACUUCAAAUUCUAUCUUUAUCUUAUGAAUUUUAGUCCAUGUUCUUUAGAUAGUGUUAUACAUAUUUUAAUUUCUAUUUGCUCCCUGAAUCCUAUUUCUAUACCCC
rnacentral:lncRNA from 1 species